UAGCACCUCCAUAAUGGAGGCUAUUUGAGUGUGAAACACCAUACAAUUAGCCAUUGUUAGCAACUAUCUAGCGUUACCUAGAUAACAUAUCAACCAAGUCCCAUCUCCAACGCGAAUUAUGGGAUCACUGACAACCGGAAAUGGUCAAUCCACACACAGUGUGGUGUUGCACCUCUUCAACCUCAUGAGGCAGGCCCCUAUGAUGCACCAUUGAGAGCAUCCUGUCAGGUUCUAUCUCCGCCUGGUAUGGCAAUUGCACCGUCCGCAACCGCAGGGCUCUCUAGAAGGUGGUGCGGUUAGCCCCUCUCAUCACCAGGGGCACACUGCCUGCCCUCCAGAACAUCUACAGCACACGGUGUCACAGGAAGGCCAAGAAGAGCAUCAAGGACCUCAGCCACCCAAGCCACGGCCUGUUCACCAGCUACCAUCUAAAUGGUGUAGACAGUACAGAUGCAUCAAAGCUGGGACCGAGAGACUGAAAAACAGCUUCCAUCUCCAGGCCAUCCGACUGUUAAAUAGUCACCAAAGGGUAUGGUUAAAUGAAAAAGGUAUUCACACUGUUCUUUGAAAUAGGGUAGUGCUUAUUACAUUACACAUCAAAACUCCUAUGAAAAGUUUCUUUAAAGCUGAGAGCAGACUGGUUUAGAGAGAACAGUGUUAGCAAGAAUAGAGUAGAAAACAAUAGAAUGACUUUAUUCCAUCUCCAUCACCUCCAGUAAGGUAAAUAUUAAACUGUCCUUGUUCUAGCCUAGGUUUACUGUCUCUCUAAAAACAGGUAUUUACAAGCCUGUUUCAAAUGACAAGUUACCAAAGGGUUAAUGUGGGGUAUGUGGUUGAUUACCCUCUUAACUCGAGACACUUCACAUGAUAACUAUCUCAGACAUACCCUGUGUGUAUCUCAAGCUACACUGCUACGAUUUCUCCCGGUUGUGGACACUCCUAUGUCUGGUAAGGUUACACAGGAAGGAGAAGCUCUUGUAACAUAGUUUGCACUUGAAGGGCCUCUCCUUGAUGUGAACAGUCUGGUGCUCCCUCAAAUAGUUUGCCUUAACGAAGCGCUUCCCACAUGUUGAGCAGGUGUACGGCUUGUCUGCGUCUGUCCUAAUGCUCGGCCUCCCAUGUUAUGACCCAAUGACAACAGAUGAGGUAGAAACUGGAGUCUUUCAGCUCCGUCCUUGACCUCUAGCCAUUGUUUGGGUGUUGUUGGGAUUGUGUGCUGUGUUAUAGGCUAGGUACCUCUUGUGGUGAAUGCCCAUCCUGACCCUGUCUGUAUUGGUGGGGUAACCAUGAUGUAACUGAGGAAGGUUAGACCUAGGUCCAGGUCUUCUAUUAACCCAUUCACCAGGCAUUAGAUGAGAUCCUGGAGAAGACAGACUUCCCAUUGGUCUCCCACCACUCUCUGUGAAGGCUGAAGCUUAGGGUCACCUGCUCUGUUCAUCAUGGAUACUGUGGUGUUCAUAUCAUAGGAACAUAAGGGUCUAUCUCUAUGAGCCCUAGGUCCUGCUUCAUCCCUGCACUGAGACUGUGAAGAGAAGGGUCUGGGCUGCAGACUGGAUCCCUGACUGGAGCUUCUGUCUCUGAUGACCACCAGGACUGAGGUUGUUCAGUCCACUCGGGAAGGAAGAGUGAAAGGAAGAGUGAAGGCUCCUGAUCCGGAGCCAGGGUUUGUGACCAGCCGCUUCAGAGGUCCAGUCUCUACCGCCAGCAACACUAGAUAUCAGCAGGUCCUCAUUGACUGCAAACACUAAUUUUACAGAAGACCAUAUAAAGGACCUGAGCUCUAGGACCAUGCCCCAGGACUACCUGACAUGAUGACUCCUUGCUGUCCCCAGUCCACCUGGCCGUGCUGCUGCUCCAGUUCUGCCUUAUUAUUAUUCGACCAUGCUGGUCAUUUAUGAACAUUUGAACAUCUUGG